rnacentral:rRNA from 1 species
CCGAUGCUUAUUCUUCAGGUACACGUCAUUUUGUUCCUCCCUGAAAAAAGAGGUUUACAACCCGUAGGCCGUCAUCCCUCACGCGAGAUUGCUCCGUCAGGCUUUCGCCCAUUGCGGAAAAUUCCCC